rnacentral:rRNA from 1 species
CGGGAGGGGGCUAGCGUUGUUCGGAAUUACUGGGCGUAAAGCGCGCGUAGGCGGCUUGACAAGUUGGAGGUGAAAGCCCGGAGCUCAACUUCGGAAUUGCCUUCAAGACUGUCUCGCUCGAGGCAGGGAGAGGAGAGCGGAAUACCCAGUGUAGAGGUGAAAUUCGUAGAUAUUGGGUGGAACACCGGUGGCGAAGGCGGCUCUCUGGCCCUGAUCUGACGCUAAGGCGCGAAAGCGUGGGGAGCAAACAGGAUUAGAUACCCUGGUAGUCCACGCCGUAAACUAUGAGUGCUAGAUGUUGGGAGGUUUACUUCUCAGUGUCGCAGCUAACGCAUUAAGCACUCCGCCUGGGGAGUACGGCCGCAAGGUUA